UACAGGGGCCCCAAGCGUUAAUCGGAAUUACUGGGCUUAAAGGGUGCGUAGGCGGCUCCGUAAGUGCUCUGUGAAAGCCCUCGGCUCAACCGAGGAACAGCAGGGCAUACUGCGGAGCUUGAGUCCGGGAGAGGUGAGUGGAACUCCGAGUGUAGAGGUGAAAUUCGUAGAUAUUCGCAAGAACACCAGUGGCGAAGGCGGCUCACUGGCCCGGUACUGACGCUGAGGUGCGAAAGCGUGGGGAGCAAACAGG
rnacentral:rRNA from 1 species